rnacentral:tRNA from 1 species
UCUCGAUUCGUCUAGUGGUUAGGAUACCUGCUUGUCAUUUGAAUUCGCAGGUGGCCGGGGUUCAAUUCCCCGAUCGAGAG